UGGUGCAAGAAUGGACAUCUCAUCAUGGGAAUGCCGUCCAAAUCUGCAGCACACAAGAAGAGGAAGAAGACCUUUCAGCCGCAUCAGGAAAAAACAUCAUGCUUUAUGAAUGCCUCUGAUGUGGGUUGCAGUCUGCUGUGGGUUUCAUCAUCACAUAAUCGUCUACCAUAGACCUCACCAAAUAUGCUGAGAUUCAUAUGCUGGAGCUCUUGGGGGAAGAGAAAACCUGCACUGAUGACGGUGGCCGUCUGCAUGUCCCUCAGGAGUCUGUCCACG